UAAUUAUUAGGUUGGUGCAAAAGUAGUUGCAGUUUUUGCAUUAAAAGUAAUGUAAAAAGUAAUAUAAAACACUGAUGAAAACAAUUAAAGUUACCAAAAAAGGAUAUUCUACCUUCAUAUUUGAAGAAUAAUUAAUAUUUUUGCACUUCCAAAAAUGAUCUACAAAUUUAUAACAAUUUUCAUCAAAACGUCAAUGAAAUUAUUUAUAGAAAUAGAAAAAAUAAUAAAAUUCAAAUGAAACAAACAAACAAAAACACAACCAAAAUAGCCAAACUAAUCUUGAGAGAAAGAACACACACAAAGCUGGACACAUCGCAUCACCUAACUUCAAGACAUACUGCAAAUCUACGGUAACAAAAAUAACGUGGUACUGGUAAUAACAACAGACACUUAGACCAGUGAAACAGAUUAGGGAACCCAGAAAUGAAUCCACACUAAGAAGACAACUGAUUUUUUGCCAAAGGUGCCAAGAACACACAUUGUGGAAAAAUAGUCUCUUCAAUAAAUGAUGCUACAAAAAACUGUAUAUCUACAUGCAGACUAAUAAAACCAGACCCUUAUUUCUUACCAUAUUAAAAAUCCACCUAAAUGCAUUAAGAACUUAAGUAUACAACCCAAACCUAUAAUACUACUUGAAGUAAACAAAUGGGAAAUUCUCUAUGACUUCCAUGACUCCGUUUAAAGACCUCAAAAGCAUAGGACCUCAAGAGCAUAGAUAACAAGAAAAUACAGGCAAAUAGAUUAUAUCAAACUAAAAAGGUGCAAAGAAAACACAACAAUCAACAUAGUGAAGAGACAAGCCACAGAAUGGGAGCAAACAUUUGCUAACUAUACAAAUACCCAGAGUGUGUAAAGGAUUCAAACCACUAACCAGCAAACAAACAACAAAACAAAACAAAUGAUCCAAUUUAAAAAAUGGCAAAAUACCUUAAUAGACAGUUUGCCCAAAAAAGUGUACAAAUUGCUGGCAGGGUCAUAGCAAAAUGCUCGACAUUACCAACUAUAAGGAAAAUGAAAAUUAAAGCUACAAUGAAAUACCAUCCCACACUAGAAAUAAUGGCUACUCCCAAGACAAAAUAUAACAAAUACACGUGAGAAUGCAGUGAGAGGAAAACUCUUUGACACUGUUGGUGAGGAAGUAGCUUAAUACCAUCAUUAUUAAAAAAAAAACUGUGGCGAUUUCUCAAAAAGUCAAAAAUAGAGCUAACAUAUGUCUUAUUAUUGAACUACUGUCUAUAGCCAAAGUAAUUAAAAUCAGUAUAUCAAAAAGAUAUUUGCAUUAUGGUGUUUAUUCCGGCAGCGAAGAGAUGAAAUCAAGAUGUGUCCAUCAAUCAAUAAAUAAAGAAAAUGUGGUAUAGAUACACAAUGGAAUACUAUUUGGCUAUGGAAAGAAAUAAAAUACUGUCAUUUGUGGCAAUAUGUGUGAACCUAGAGAAUAUGAUAUUCAGUGAAAUAAACCAUAGGCUGAAAGACAAAUACUGCAUGAGCUUACUAAUAAGUGGAAUAUAGGAGAGUUGAUCUUGCAGAAGGUAAGCAUAGACUGGUGGUUACCAGAGUCUGGGGAGGGGUCUGGGAAGAAAAAGAUUAAGGGAGGCCAUUCAUUGGGUGCGAAGUUACAGUUAGAAAAAAUAGCUUCUGGUGUUCUGUUACAUAGUUGGGUGACUAUAACAACUACAGUAUAAUAACAGCAUACACUUUACAAUAGCUAGAAAACAGUAACUUGAAACUUAUCACUAUAAAGAAAUGAUAAUGAUUUGAGAUGAUGAACAUGCUAAUUACCCCAAUUUUAUCAUAACACAAUGUACGUAUUUUUUGAAACAUUACACUAUACCCUAUAAAUAUUUGAAAUUAUGUGUCAAUUAUAGAAUAACCUACUAACAUAAAUAAAUAAAUUUACCAAUGCAAAAAUUGCAAGUUCUUAAAACUGUGUUCUGUGUGUCUCUUGUAGAAUACCUUUUCCACUUAACCAGAAUGUUUUCAACUUGGCCUUUCCCUGUACUCUGCUUGUCCAGAGACUAAAGAAUAUUCAGCUAAUUUUUAUUACCAAACAUGUUAUCACUGACCUGUUUUGCUCAGUUAUUGGGAGGAAGGAUCUCAACUGCUCAUAGGAAGAGUACAUGAAGAAUAUAAGAUGCGGUUUUCCAAAUUGCAAUUUUCAACUUGGAAAUAUUCCUCCAAAUUCAAUAUAUGACACAUCUGGUAAGACUCUUAUUAUACUGUGAUGCACAGGAGCAUGAUUGUACAAGGCCUUUCACAUUUUUAGAGAAAGAGAGUGUUACACUUAGCUGGUAUCUCCUCAGUUGAAAUAAUCAGAAACACUCUUCCAAAAGGAUUUUAGGCUUUUUCAAAAUUGGUAGGAUGGAAUUUGUGAUGAAGGUCCUCCAGUAUUUUUCUAUUGUCUACAUUUAAAGUAAUAAUUUUCCUGCUUAUUUUUUCCUCCAAGGAAGCUGGGAAUUAAAUGUCUUGAAAUUAUAAAUAUCCUUAUCAGCAAGCAUUGUGCCUCUAGCUGCACUCUACACUAAUUUCAACUUCCAAAAAGUGACAAAUGCAUUACAAUCAUUCAAUGCAUCUGAUACUUACCAUAUUUAUUAUUUUCAUCUUGCUGUAUUUUAUAAAACUUCUUUUAUCAGGCCUAAUUUUGGUGGAAACAUUUUUUCUUUUCUAAAUUUGCCAGCCGGAUUUUUCAGUUUGCCAUUUAUUGCCACUUAACAAGAAAUCCCUUCUCCCUGGCACCUAAAAUUCAUAGGUCUAAAAAGGCUGCUCAAUAAAUGUUGUAAAGUGUCUGAUAAAAAGGAUACUUUUAUUGAUAUAAUAAAAACAUUUUACAUUUAUAUAGAUUAUAUUUUAAAUCUACAUAAGGGACAGUGCAUCACUAUUCAAAUAAUAUUAUUAAUAAAAUAACAAUACUUAAAAACUAUGUUUUAUAACAAAGAUGAGGAAGUAUACUUUAUCAGACUUCUUUUUCUACAAAUAAUGUAUCCACCAUAUACAAAACAGCUUUUGGAUUCUUGUAAGUGGCUUUUUCCUUCUAUACACCCUUUAUCUUUGCUUUAGAUGUCUGAUCUAAGCUUAUGUUUUUUAUGAUUUGAUUUUCAUUCCUGGUUUGUAUAAUGGUGUUAUUCCCUUAUUAUACACAACUAUUUAUACACUUUGGGACUUAAGAAUAUUGAGAAUACACUAAGGUGAAAGGCAGUAUGGUGAGAGUAAACUUGAGCUGCACUCCAUGUUUACUGAGAGUGCCCAGGAGCUUCACCCUCAGCCCCAUCAAACUUAGAUUGUGACUUCUUUUUUUUUUUUUUUUUUGAGACGGAGUUUCGCUCUUGUUACCCAGGGUGGAGCGCAA